rnacentral:rRNA from 1 species
GACGGAGGAUGCAAGUGUUAUCCGGAAUCACUGGGCGUAAAGCGUCUGUAGGUCGUUUAAAAAGUCUACUGUUAAAAAUUGAAGCUUAACUUCAAAGGUGCCGUAGAAACUUUUAAACUUGAGUAUGGUAGGGGUAGAGGGGAUUUCCAGUGGAGCGGUGAAAUGCGUAGAGAUCGGAAAGAACACCAACGGCGAAAGCGCUCUGCUGGGCCGACACUGACGCUGAGAGACGAAAGCUAGGGGAGCGAAUGGG